AAAAUACCAAAUCGUUCACGGUACCAGAACUCUGAUCCAAGUGUGAAAAUACCGAGGUAUAUCUUCUUGCAAUUUCAUUCACAUUUAACAUUCGCACGACGAUCGCGGAACUAGGCGAUCCACGAGAGUCGUGCGGCUCCGUAGUAUCUAAUUGUAAGUAUAAUGUUAUCAUGGAUCGGAUCGACGACGGUUAUAAUAUCAUACCAACUAGAAUAUUUACCGAGCAUGAAUUUAACGAAGUCAAUGCAUCGAUAAAUCAAUAAAUAUAAUAUAAAACGAGUGAAAAUGGUGUCGAACAAUUCAUAGUGCAUACCGCAUAGUUAAACAUAAUGGUGUCGGCGCGCUUAAAUCAAAUCCAAAUCAUCGAAUGAUCGGGGGUCCCGACACCCAAAUCAAACGGCUGCGGUGAACGAUCUACCCAUAUGUCUAAUUGUCUUCGUUGACCGAAGAUUUUUAUUCAUAUUCCACAACUACUUGGGCAAGUAGAGUGAUUUCCUCAUCAGUUCGCACAGCUAUGCGAUCGAGACGAUUUUUCGUCGACGUUUCACGACCAGAUCGGCAGACCACUGUGACAAUUUAAACGCGAGAUUAUGAAAUGCCCUCACCGAUACUCACCGGCCGACUAAAUUCCAAAUAGUAAGUAAUUUGCGGUCGACUUGACAGUUUCAUACGAUAACAUCACGAAACCAAAAAAAAUACACGCGUUUUCCGUGUAAUAAUUAGGUUGCAUUUUUGAUUUGCGAGCAUAUCUUGUAGACGUGUGUAUGUAUAAUAAUUCAUUCACGGGGUCAAACCUCACGCCUACGGUAUCCACGCUAGAUGUAUAAUUUAAAGACGAUACGCUACUUUGCAAUGCAAAUUAACGCAAACAAUCGACUCGUUUUUUUUUCACGUUAAAUCAGAAAUUAACCAGCGAAGAGCUCUCUUUCUUUCUACCAUCUGAUCACGACUCAUCUGUUACAAUAAUCCGUAAAAAUAAAUAAUCGUGAAAAUGGCAAAUUUCACCAAAGGGAACGAUACGGUUACUUUGGUCGAAAUGCUAUGCGGAUCUGGUAUGUGUGCAACCGCGAAUGAAGAAGCGCUGAAAGUCGACGAUGGUAAUCGGGACACUCGUGACGAGGAUAUCGCUAAUUGGGAAGUGGCAACUCUUGCGGCGAUGUUCGUCGUAGCAGUUUUUGGCAAUUCUCUGGUCGUAACGGCUCUUUAUUUGAGGCGAUACGGGAAGACGCCGGUCAGGAAGAAAAGUUCAUCGAGGAUGUAUUUCUUCAUCCUUCAUUUGAGCAUCGCCGACCUCAUCACCGCGUUCUUGAACGUCCUUCCUCAGCUCUUCUGGGAAAUAACGUACAGGUUCCAAGGUGGUCCGAUUCUCUGCAAAUUGGUGAAAUUCGGUCAGCCGCUCGGUCCAUAUCUGAGCUCCUACGUAUUGAUGGUAACCGCGUUAGACAGAUACCAGGCAAUUUGCCAUCCUUUGAAUUACUGCAGCGUAACCUCCAGAAGGUCAAAGAUAAUGGUUUACCUCGCCUGGGGCUUGUCCUUGGCCCUCUGUAUACCUCAACUUGUUGUAUUUUCAUACCAAGAGGCCUCGCCUGGAGUUUGGGAUUGCUGGGGCACCUUCUAUUCCCCAUUGGGGGAACGCGCUUAUGUCACAUGGUUCAGCAUCUCGGCGUUCAUCCUGCCGCUUUUAGUCCUCGGUUACACGAACGUUUCGAUUUGCCUCGCGAUAUGGAGGAAUACCGGAAUAGCCGGUGAGGCUCGUGGAACGGACGGGACUCUGCUGCGACAGGGUAGCGUGAUAUCCAGGGCGAAGAUAAACUCUAUAAAACAAAUGGUUGCUGUGAUUAGUUUUUACGCAGCCUCCAGCAGCCCCUUCGUCGCCUCGUUACUCUGGGUAACUUGGGACCCGGGCGCGGUGAAUUCCCCAUUCUUCGAAGGAGCAGCGUUUGCGAUCCUGACCCUGAUGAGUAGUUUGAACAGCUGCGUCAAUCCUUGGAUCUAUCUGACGUUGAAUCGCGAAUUACCGCGGACUUUAUUCGCCAGAAUUUAUUCCUCGGGACGAUCAGCGAGCUACGCGAGGACUCGGCAAGGUCGUAGGAGAUGCGUAUCUACCGAAACACCCUGCAACAGUAGCGGAUCUUCGACUGGAACAUCCGUAGAAUCGUACGCUUCAAGGAUGUCCCGUUACGCGUACGCGAUUCUCGGUAAAUCCGAUACAGCUAAUAGCAAGGAAUUCCACUGUCUCCAGUCGAGCAGUUUACGCGGAAUCAGGAAUGAAUUAGAAUAGGAAGAAGAUGGUAAUCGGCGUUUUUAAGUAUGGAGAGCAACGUACCGGACACCUAUCCCUAUAAUUAACGCGAAUCGAUCCGUAGUGUGCAACGCAACGUUUAUAGUUUCAUACCUUAUGUAUAAAGCGAGGAAAUUAUAUCCUAUUCACGACUAUCCUCAGGAUAUACGUACGCACAUACGUAAAUGUAUUAUAUUCACUAUAGGUUUACAACUCACCGUUGAUUGAAAAAAGCGUCUAAUGGUCUAAUAAUGAGCAGGGGGUUGAGGUAGCGAGGACCCUGGAGCCGUGGGUGAGUUGUGAUAAUCGUGAUGAUGAUGAUGAUGAUGGU